GCUUUCCUGCGGUUCAGUUGGUAGAGCAUUGCGCCAACAACACAAAGUUUUUGAGUUCAAAUCCCAGGGAAAGCA
rnacentral:tRNA from 1 species